rnacentral:lncRNA from 1 species
AAUGUAGUAGAGAAGUAGUGACCCAGGCUGGAAGUGACAUAGCAAGGAGACUCAUUUGAGCUAAGAGAAACAGGAAGUGUCCUUUUUUCCCCUUCGCCUCCUCCAGUGGCAGGAUGUGAGCCACCAGCAAGAAAGGGUGCCAGCAAAAGGCAUCCUCUACAAAGAUAAGUCUUAUAACAUAUAUAGAUUUAUGAUAAUUAAGACUGAGCUAGCAGAUAAGAAAUCCUAGUCAUUGGCCAAGUAACAUUGUACCUAAUACAAGUGUCUCUGUGCAUUAAUUGGGGCCCUAACUCAGGUGGGCAGCUGCAAUAGAGUGCACAUGUGACGGUAGGGCUCAGUGGCUUUUGGCAGAAAGAUUUUAUCGUAACACCCAAGGACUGAGAUAUUAGAGGAGUGAAUCCAUCAAUCUUAUGUGAUGUCUUUGGGUCAAACAUACUUUUGUUCUCGAUGUAGCUGAUAUCUGAUUACAAACCUCAGUUUGUUAACUCUGAUGCCCCUCUACCUCUCUAAAUUGAGUGUAUCCUAUGAUAAAAACAAAUGGUUAAUUUAAUUCCUUAUAAUGACAGAAAAACAUGAUUAUAGAAGCAGAAACCCAAGAUGCUGAUUUGAAUAAUAUCACAAAAAAAUCUGUAGCUGGAGAUCCCAGGAGUUCAUUCAGAGAAUUUACAACUAACAAGGCAGCAUUAACAUUGCAGUCAAGAACUGGAAUCCUGGAGCUGAGAGAUCAUUUGGAAGUUACCAGUGUCUACAUACUUGUGACUCUCUAUGGACUGAGCAGGUUGCUAGGAGUUUCCAAGUCCACGCUCCCCCACUUAGGCUGAACCUCAUGGCUACUGUGGCUUGGGGCUGAGACAUUCCAGACGACAAAAUGGUGCCCGAAUGUGGGGCCUGAGAAGAAGCCAUGGACACCACGAAGAAAGGGACACCAAAGAAGCAGUGAACAAGGCAGAGGCGCGGACACUUCGAAGAUAUAGUCUUUGUAGUCAAAUCAGUCUGCAGAAGCCCAGAAAAAAAGAAGUGGCCGAAUCUGGUGGAGAACGAGGCAUGCUGGUUACUGGAGCAGUUGGUGAGAUGUAUGGAGCAGAGAGGAAUUGGACCGGAGUCCUUGGGAGACCAUCUGAACCAGCUGGAGUGAAACACUGA